rnacentral:rRNA from 1 species
CAGUAGCCGCGGUAAAACGUAGGCGGCAAGCGUUGUCCGGAAUUAUUGGGCGUAAAGGGCUCGCAGGCGGUUUCUUAAGUCUGAUGUGAAAGCCCCCGGCUCAACCGGGGAGGGUCAUUGGAAACUGGGAAACUUGAGUGCAGAAGAGGAGAGUGGAAUUCCACGUGUAGCGGUGAAAUGCGUAGAGAUGUGGAGGAACACCAGUGGCGAAGGCGACUCUCUGGUCUGUUACUGACGCUGAGGAGCGAAAGCGUGGGGAGCGAACAGGAUUAGAGACCCCAGUAGUCCCUGUCUCUUAUAA